ACCACGAGUUCAUGAGCUACUGCACAGAUGACAAGCAAAACAAUUAACUACCACGAAGAAUCCCGCAGAAAUAUAUUGCGAAAUUAGUGGGUUUUUGCGAGAUCAGAUAUUUUAGUGACUUUAACGUGUGUUUCUAAUAUUUAUUUAAAGAGAUUUAAUAUAGUUUUGAUUUUAAGAAAGAUGUAUUUUGUCGCAGAAUAUUAUUUUGCUUAGCAGUACCAAUUGUCAACUGGCACCACUGUCGAAUGCUAUCAAAAAUGUGGAUUUUGACAGCGCUCUCUUGAAUCAAAGAGUUCGAAUCUUUUAUCUAUGCAACACGGCAACACUCUAACCAUGGAUAAAAUGAUCCGAACUCUUUAGCGGCCUUUACACGGUCAUUUUUGGAUGCAAAAAAAACUGGUUUUCGUUUAAACGGUCGAACAUGCAAUCAUACUUUAUUUCUCUGUUAUUUGUGAACGAAGCAACAUCAAGGAUGACAUGAUCAUUUUCGUAAAUGUAAAGGAUUUUAGGAUUCUAGUUCGUUUAUAUACAAUGUACUGAUAUUUUUUUGCUUAACUUGUAAACUUGAAACUUUGCCUCUACUAAUAAAAAUAUUAAUGUAAAUUCA